UACAGAGGUGGCAAGCGUUGUUCGGAAUUACUGGGCGUAAAGGGCGCGUAGGCGGUCUUUUAAGUCUUGUGUGAAAUCCCUCGGCUCAACUGAGGAACUGCACGGGAUACUGGAAGACUUGAGUUCGGGAGAGGGAUGUGGAAUUCCAGGUGUAGCGGUGAAAUGCGUAGAUAUCUGGAGGAACACCGGUGGCGAAGGCGGCAUCCUGGACCGACAUUGACGCGUGAGGCGCGAAAGCCAGGGGAGCAAACGGG
rnacentral:rRNA from 1 species